GAUGAUCAGCCACAUCGGGACUGAGACACGGCCCGAACUCUACGGGAGGCAGCAGUGGGGAAUAUGACAAUGGGGCACCUGAUCCAGCCAUGCCGCGUGUGUGAAGAAGGCCUCGGGUUGUAAAGCACUUCAGCGAGGAAGAACGCCUAGUGGUUAAUACCCAUUAGGAAAGACAUCACUCGCAGAAGAAGCACCGGCUAACUCCGUGCCAGCAGCCGCGGUAAUACGGAGGGUGCAAGCGUUAAUCGGAAUUACUGGGCGUAAAGCGCGCGUAGGUGGCUUGAUAAGCCGGUUGUGAAAGCCCCGGGCUCAACCUGGGAACGGCAUCCGGAACUGUCAGGCUAGAGUGCAGGAGAGGAAGGUAGAAUUCCCGGUGUAGCGGUGAAAUGCGUAGAGAUCGGGAGGAAUACCAGUGGCGAAGGCGGCCUUCUGGACUGACACUGACACUGAGGUGCGAAAGCGUGGGUAGCAAACAGGGUUAGAUACCCUGGUAGUCCACGCCGUAAACGAUGUCGACCAGCCGUUGGGUGCCUAGCGCACUUUGUGGCGAAGUUAACGCGAUAAGUCGACCGCCUGGGGAGUACGGCCGCAAGGUUAAAACUCAAAUGAAUUGACGGGGGCCCGCACAAGCGGUGGAGCAUGUGGUUUAAUUCGAUGCAACGCGAAGAACCUUACCUACCCUUGACAUCGACAGAAGCCGAGAGAGAUCUUGGUGUGCCUUCGGGAACUGUCAGACAGGUGCUGCAUGGCUGUCGUCAGCUCGUGUUGUGAAAUGUUGGGUUAAGUCCCGUAACGAGCGCAACCCUUGUCCUUAUUUGCCAGCGCGUAAUGGCGGGAACUCUAAGGAGACUGCCGGUGACAAACCGGAGGAAGGUGGGGACGACGUCAAGUCAUCAUGGCCCUUACGGGUAGGGCUACACACGUGCUACAAUGGCCGGUACAAAGGGCAGCGAGCUCGCGAGAGUCAGCGAAUCCCUUAAAGCCGGUCUCAGUCCGGAUCGGAGUCUGCAACUCGACUCCGUGAAGUCGGAAUCGCUAGUAAUCGGAAUCAGAA
rnacentral:rRNA from 1 species